AACGAACGCUGGCGGCAUGCCUAACACAUGCAAGUCGAACGAGAUCUUCGGGUUUAGUGGCGCACGGGUGCGUAACGCGUGGGAAUCUGCCCUUUGGUUCGGAAUAACAGUUGGAAACGACUGCUAAUACCGGAUGAUGACGAAAGUCCAAGGAUUUAUCGCCAGAGGAUGAGCCCGCGUAGGAUUAGCUAGUUGGUGUGGUAAAGGCGCACCAAGGCGACGAUCCUUAGCUGGUCUGAGAGGAUGAUCAGUCACACUGGGACUGAGCCACGGCCCAGAAUCUUACGGGAGCACGCAGUGGAGAAUAUUGGACAAUGGGCGAAAUCCUGAUCCAGCAAGGCCGCGUGAGUGAUGAAGGCCUUAGGGUUGUAAAGCUCUUUUACCCGGGAUGAUAAUGACAGUACCGGGAGAAUAAGCUCCGGCUAACUCCGUGCCAGCCGCCGCAGUAACAC
rnacentral:rRNA from 1 species